CACCAAUGAAACUUGAACCAAUACUAAGGACUUUCCUUACUGACACCGAACCUGACAACUCUGCCUCCAAUACAGUCACUACUGAUUCGGAUCUUUACUUGUUUGGUGUAGUCUAUCGCUCUUGUCUUUGAGCUUGCCUCUAAAUAGAGUACCCAUUAUUAUAUUCGAAUACCCGUUAUGGAGUACUUCUGUUGGAGCCUCCCCACUUGCUGCUUUGGACCAUACCAUACUAGAGGAUUUCCCCACCACAACUAACUCUAAAACUCGGUGAAGCCAAACAAGCACUACUGACUCGGUUAAGCAAAGCACCACCCACUUCACUUAGGAAAGGUUUCUCCAUAUGUUGAAUCCAUCUUAUUGCACUGAAGAAACACCUCUCUAUCCACUUAGUCUCUUGCUCUGACCUAUGCUUCUCGCCCUCUUGCGGAUCUUAUUGCUAAUGUGGAUCUUGUAGUUUAGGCUUUAACACCUGUUGCAAAUACAACUACGGAGGAGAAGGGCAGGAGGGGAAGUUUCAAAUGAACUCUUCUGGUUUUGUGUCUUUAUCAACGCGUACUCGAUACUCGAUAGAUUCCUUUAAUGAUUCAGACAGGAUCGGAUCGGACAGGACAGGCCCAACUAGUCCUUAUUUUAAG
rnacentral:lncRNA from 1 species